rnacentral:rRNA from 1 species
AUACGUAGGUGACAAGCGUUAUCCGGAUUUACUGGGCGUAAAGGGCGUGUAGGCGGUCUUGCAAGUCAGAAGUGAAAUUCCUGAGCUCAACUCGGGCGCUGCUUCUGAAACUGCAGGACUUGAGUGCUGGAGGGGAUAGCGGAAUUCCUAGUGGAGCGGUAAAAUGCGCAGAUAUUAGGAAGAACACCGGUGGCGAAGGCGGCUAUCUGGACAGUAACGGACGCUGAGGCGCGAAAGCGUGGGGAGCAAACAGGAUUAGAUCCCCUGGUAGUCCACGCCGUAAACGAUGAAUACUAGGUGUAGGGGGUAUCGACUCCCUCUGUGCCGCAGUUAACACAAUAAGUAUUCCGCCUGGGGAGUACGGCCGCAAGGUUGAAACUUAAAGGAAUUGACGGGG